rnacentral:rRNA from 1 species
AAAUCGUACCCCAAACCGACACAGGUGGUCAGGUAGAGAAUACCAAGGCGCUUGAGAGAACUCGGGUGAAGGAACUAGGCAAAAUGGUGCCGUAACUUCGGGAGAAGGCACGCUGACACGUAGGUGAAGUGAUUUACUCAUGGAGCUGAAGUCAGUCGAAGAUACCAGCUGGCUGCAACUGUUUAUUAAAAACACAGCACUGUGCAAACACGAAAGUGGACGUAUACGGUGUGACGCCUGCCCGGUGCCGGAAGGUUAAUUGAUGGGGUCAGCGCAAGCGAAGCUCCUGAUCGAAGCCCCGGUAAACGGCGGCCGUAACUAUAACGGUCCUAAGGUAGCGAAAUUCCUUGUCGGGUAAGUUCCGACCUGCACGAAUGGCGUAAUGAUGGCCAGGCUGUCUCCACCCGAGACUCAGUGAAAUUGAACUCGCUGUGAAGAUGCAGUGUACCCGCGGCAAGACGGAAAGACCCCGUGAACCUUUACUAUAGCUUGACACUGAACAUUGAGCCUUGAUGUGUAGGAUAGGUGGGAGGCUUUGAAGUGUGGACGCCAGUCUGCAUGGAGCCGACCUUGAAAUACCACCCUUUAAUGUUUGAUGUUCUAACGUGGACCCGUUACCCGGGUUGCGGACAGUGUCUGGUGGGUAGUUUGACUGGGGCGGUCUCCUCCUAAAGAGUAACGGAGGAGCACGAAGGUUGGCUAAUCCUGGUCGGACAUCAGGAGGUUAGUGCAAUGGCAUAAGCCAGCUUGACUGCGAGCGUGACGGCGCGAGCAGGUGCGAAAGCAGGUCAUAGUGAUCCGGUGGUUCUGAAUGGAAGGGCCAUCGCUCAACGGAUAAAAGGUACUCCGGGGAUAACAGGCUGAUACCGCCCAAGAGUUCAUAUCGACGGCGGUGUUUGGCACCUCGAUGUCGGCUCAUCACAUCCUGGGGCUGAAGUAGGUCCCAAGGGUAUGGCUGUUCGCCAUUUAAAGUGGUACGCGAGCUGGGUUUAGAACGUCGUGAGACAGUUCGGUCCCUAUCUGCCGUGGGCGCUGGAGAACUGAGGGGGGCUGCUCCUAGUACGAGAGGACCGGAGUGGACGCAUCACUGGUGUUCGGGUUGUCAUGCCAAUGGCACUGCCCGGUAGCUAAAUGCGGAAGAGAUAAGUGCUGAAAGCAUCUAAGCACGAAACUUGCCCCGAGAUGAGUUCUCCCUGAGACUUUAGGUCUCCUGAAGGAACGUUGAAGACGACGACGUUGAUAGGCCGGGUGUGUAAGCGCAGCGAUGCGUUGAGCUAACCGGUACUAAUGAACCGUGAGGCUUAACCUUACAACGCCGAAG